AUUGAACGCUGGCGGCAGGCCUAACACAUGCAAGUCGAGCGGAGCGGCGGACGGGUGAGUAAUGCCUAGGAAUCUGACUGGUAGUGGGGGAUAACGACCGGAAACGGGCGCUUAUACCGCAUACUCUCUGAUGAGCCUAGGUCGGAUUAGCUCGUUGGGGGGGUAAAGGCCUACCAAGGCGUCGCUCCGUAACUGGUCUGAGAGGAUGAUCAGUCACACGUGAACUGCGACACGUUCCAGACUCCUACGGGAGGCAGCAGUGGGGAAUAGUGGACAAUUGGCGAAAGCCUGAUCCAGCCAUGCCGCGUGGGUGAAGAAGGUCUUCAGAUGGUAAAGCACUUUAAGUUGGGAGACGGUACCAACAGAAUAAGCACCGGCUAACUUCGUGCCAGCAGCCGCGGUAAUUC
rnacentral:rRNA from 1 species